GGGAAGGGCAGAGAGACAGGAAGACACAGACUCGGAAGCAGGCCCCAGGCUCCAGGCUAUCAGCACAGAACCUGACGGGGGACUCACCCCCAGGAUCUGCAAGACCAUGACCUGAGCGGAAGUGGGCCGCUCUGUGACGGAGCCACCCAGGCGCCCCCACGAUCUCUGCAUUACUGUCCCGCAGUCAUCCCGGGACGAGUCCCUCGGUCAUUUUUCCGUUUCGGUGUUCUGGGGAGCUCCCUACUGUGAUAUCACUCAUACUAUGACGUCACGUCACACUGCUCCAACUAGGACACGUGCAGCCCCAGUUCUGGGCUUGAGCCGGAGGAGAAGGCUCCAGCUCCACAUCCAGCAGGUGGCUAUCCCGCCGUCAUUCCUGCACCCUGUGAAGCUGUCCUGGAUGUGGUCCCUCCCAUCCCCCUGGCCGCUCUCCUGUGCCUGUCCUGGGCUUCGGGGACCUCUGCAUCUUCCCUCGGAAUCAAUGGCAGGGACCAGGAACCUGGGUGGGCCUCAGUCGCUGAAGCAUCCCACUCUGGGUGGCUUUGGGCUCCGGUUGGGAUCCCACAGUUUUGGACAUCGGAGCCUGACAUCAAAUCUGAGCUGAGA